rnacentral:rRNA from 1 species
AGCAGCCGCGGUAAUUCCAGCUCCAAUAGCGUAUAUUAAAGUUGUUGCAGUUAAAAAGCUCGUAGUUGAAUUUCGGGAUCAAUACGUCGGUCGUGCUUUCGGGUACGUACUGGCGUCAUUGGUUUCUCCUUUCUGACGAACCAUGAUGUCAUUAAUUUGGUGUUAUGGGGAGUUAGGACUGUUACUUUGAAAAAAUUAGAGUGUUUAAAGCAAGCUAACGCUUGAAUACAUUAGCAUGGAAUAAUGAAAUAGGACGUUCGAUCCUAUUUUGUUGGUUUCUAGGAUUGACGUAAUGAUUAAUAGGGAUAGUUGGGGGCAUUAGUAUUCAAUUGUCAGAGGUGAAAUUCUUGGAUUUAUUGAAGACUAACUACUGCGAAAGCAUUUGCCAAGGAUGUUUUCAUUAAUCAAGAACGAAAGUUAGGGGAUCGAAGACGAUCAGAUACCGUCGUAGUCUUAACCAUAAACUAUGCCGACUAGGGAUCGGAUGAUGUUAAUUUUUAAUGACUCAUUCGGCGCCUUA